AAAUGAAUUGACGGGGGCCCGCACAAGCGGAGGAGCAUGUGGUUUAAUUCGAUGAUACGCGAGGAACCUUACCCGGGCUCGAACGUGUAACGAAUAACAGGGAAACAUGUUAGUCGCAAGACGUUAUACGAGGUGCUGCAUGGUUGUCGUCAGCUCGUGCCGUGAGGUGUCAGGUUAAGUCCUAUAACGAGCGCAACCCCUACUGUUAGUUGCCAGCAUGUCAUGAUGGGGACUCUAACGGAACUGCCUACGCAAGUAGUGAGGAAGGCGGGGAUGACGUCAAAUCAGCACGGCCCUUAUGUUCGGGGCUACACACGUGCUACAAUGGUCGAUACAGAGGGCUGCUACUACGCAAGUAGAUGCUAAUCUCAAAACUCGAUCUCAGUUCGGAUCGGAGUCUGUAACUCGACUCCGUGAAGUUGGAUUCGCUAGUAAUCGCGCAUCAGCCAUGGCGCGGUGAAUACGUUCCCGGGCCUUGUACACACCGCCCGU
rnacentral:rRNA from 1 species